AAAGAAAGCAGGCCAGGUUGGUGUCGGGCUUCUUGAGAGCACCCAAAUCCAAGGGUUUGAGAGAAACGCGGGAAGCUCAUCUCCAGAGAUACAUUCCUCCUCUUGGACAAUCUAGAGAGCCACCCCUUGUAACAAAGAAUAGAAAAUAAAGAAGAAGGAAAGAAAGCAGUUCAAAACUGGCACAUCACCUGCCUCUGCUGGUGUAUGCAAGGAACCACACCCAUAGACCCCUCCGAGGCAAAUAAGGGGGCCAUCUUUUCCUGUCCCUUCUCCUGGGACAAGAAAAGAAGGAAGGAAGUUUUAACCUCAGCCAGCUGGAACCAACCAUGACCAGAACUUCAGACAGACAGAUAUCUUUGGAGCAGAACAAACUACUUUGAACAGUGGUGAUCAAUUUUCCUCAUGUUCCAUUUAUCCUUUCUCUUCUCUCCAUUCCCACUUGUUACUUUCCAAGUUCAGAUACUCAUUAUUUAUUUAAGAAAUGAGUGAAACAGUAUUUAUUAAACACUUACUGAAUGCUGAAGCAAAGUUAGUCCUUCAACUCUAUGCUGUUGGAGGAAAUAAUAUGGGUGGGGCAGGGUUGCCAGCCUGGUACACUUGCAUCAGGAAAGUUAGAGGGGUUAAUGAGGGAGACCACUGGGAAUAGCUAGACACAUCCUAUUCAGGAACAAUA